rnacentral:rRNA from 1 species
AUUGAACGCUGGCGGCAGGCCUAACACAUGCGAGUCGAGCGGAUGAAGGGAGCUUGCUCCUGGAUUCAGCGGCGGACGGGUGAGUAAUGCCUAGGAAUCUGCCUGGUAGUGGGGGAUAACGUCCGGAAACGGGCGCUAAUACCGCAUACGUCCUGAGGGAGAAAGUGGGGGGUCUUCGGACCUCACGCUAUCAGAUGAGCCUAGGUCGGAUUAGCUAGUUGGUGGGGUAAAGGCCUACCAAGGCGACGAUCCGUAACUGGUCUGAGAGGAUGAUCAGUCACACUGGAACUGAGACACGGUCCAGACUCCUACGGGAGGCAGCAGUGGGGAAUAUUGGACAAUGGGCGAAAGCCUGAUCCAGCCAUGCCGCGUGUGUGAAGAAGGUCUUCGGAUUGUAAAGCACUUUAAGUUGGGAGGAAGGGCAGUAAGUUAAUACCUUGCUGUUUUGACGUUACCAACAGAAUAAGCACCGGCUAACUUCGUG